AUUGAACGCUGGCGGCAUGCCUUACACAUGCAAGUCGAACGGGCUUGGGGGCUUGCUCCCAAGUUAGUGGCGAACGGGUGAGUAAUACAUCGGAACGUACCGUGUAGUGGGGGAUAACGUAGCGAAAGUUACGCUAAUACCGCAUACGAUCUACGGAUGAAAGCAGGGGACCUUCGGGCCUUGUGCUAUACGAGCGGCCGAUGUCUGAUUAGCUAGUUGGUGAGGUAAAGGCUCACCAAGGCGACGAUCAGUAGCGGGUCUGAGAGGAUGAUCCGCCACACUGGGACUGAGACACGGCCCAGACUCCUACGGGAGGCAGCAGUGGGGAAUUUUGGACAACGGGCGAAGGCCUGACGCAGCAACGCCGCGUGCGGGAUGACGGCCUUCGUGGUUGUAAACCGCUUUCAGCAGGGACGAAAAUAGACGGUACCGUGCAGAAGAAGCCCGGCUAACUACGUGCCAGCAGCCGCGGUAA
rnacentral:rRNA from 1 species